GGCAGUAGUCAAUCGGACUCACCGAGCUCUGAGGGCGGCAGCUUAAAUGCUGAGCUGAAGUCAGUGGUUUUUUUUUUGCAAGUAGCUCCCAGUAGUGCAUUGCUGCUCCUGCUCUUGAUAUAUGGAUAGGAAGUGGAAGCUUAAGAAAUGCUUGAUGAUGAAAUGCCAGUGUCUUUAUCUAAUAUUCCACCAAAUAUUCAGAAAUUGUGUUCAUCCCAUCAACCUCAUACAUCCCAUUAAAAUAGAAUGAUGAAGCAUUCUCACUUUUCAGAUCUGGAUUCUAGCCCUAAAACUAUUGAAGAAUGCCGUCUUUAAACAAACAAGGACCUUCACUCCAGGGACCCCGUUUCAUGAGUGAACCUAAUUGCUACCUCAGAGUAUCAAUCCUGGCUGCUUCUUUUAUAUAUCAUAUGUUUCCAAGGUCCC